UGUUUUGGAUUUAGCCAAAAUGGAGGCCCAGAUUCGUUGGGCUUAUCAAAAUUGCAAAGGUAAUAUACAAUUUUACCCUUUUUUGUUUAUUAAAAGCCUUCGCCAAAUCUGAUCUCAUCCUCUCUUAUACGACAACGGAGCUCUCUGCAACUCCUUGUCGCGAUGAAGCCACUGCCGUCCUGAUCCGCCAUCUAAAAGCAAGCCAUCACGUUCAAGUCCGUACCGGGUGGGAACCCACUGAUGCACGCAGCCAAGCUAGGCCAUGGAGACACCGUCAAGACUAUUCUAUAAGCUGGCGCGCCAUGGACGCCCUAUCUCUUUCCAAUCUCUCCGCCGGCGACUUCGCCAUGGACACAGGCCACGAAGAAGCCUACGAAAUACCCCUCAAUACCGGGAUUCAAGCUGAAUUGGUACUGGAACGAUUGCGUGGAAAAAGAAUAAGAAUAGGUUGAGGGCAACAUAGUUGGUGACCGGUGAUGGCUGGCCGGAAGUUUGUGGCAGCGGCUGGUGGGCGGUAGCUGGCCGGACACUGGCAGUGGCUGGCGGCCUGCGACUGGUAGGAAGAUGGCGGCGGUGGCUGGCCGGAAACUGGCAACGGUGGUGGCGGCGACUGGCAAGAAUAUGGAUGCUGUGGCUGGCCGGCAGGUGCUGGCCCGGCGAUGGGCGGUUGGCCGGAAGGUAGAUUGCUGGAGGUUUUGUGUAACUGGAACAUGGUUUUGGUAAAAUUAAAGGGAGUGGCAUUUUGUGUAAUUUUGAUGUUUUUUAAUUACAUUAUUGUAAAAUUAGGUACUACUUUUUGGUCUUUGGCCUUAUGCUAAUUAGGUGAAAUUGUAUUCCUAUUUCCAAAUUAGUAAACUAUAUAGUGUCUUAAAAUGAAAGCUCCCUAGAUUUUACUAUGAAGGA